CUCAUCAGCAAUCAGCAGUUUGAGAAAGUUCCUUCGUCUUUCCUCCCAUUUACCAUGGGGAACCAAACCAAGUAUUUUGCCAUUCGAAAUCCUGCUACCAUUCACCAUUUAUAAACAUGUUUCUUCUUCCUCAUGCCUUGAGUUGCAAACCUUUCAAGAUAUUCAAACAUGACCAAGUGUCCUCCUAACCCUGUUUUUCUUCUCUUCCUAUUCUUUAGGAUUUUCUUGGUCAUGGCACAAAACAGAACCAUCCCAAUCAAUGUGGGUGUGUACCCAGUUUGGGAAAAUAGAGUUGAGCUGCAUCAACACGGCCCUCUCUGACUUCUAUGCCUCUCAUUCUAACUACACUACUAGACUGGUCCUGCACACAAGGGACUCCGCUAGAGAUGUUGUUGUGGCAGCUGAUGCAGCGCUAGACUUAAUAAAGAAUGUUGAAGUGCAAGCCAUCAUAGGGCUAGAAUCAUCAAUGCAAGCCAACUUUGUAAUUGAUCUUGGAGAUCAAGCUCAGGUGCCCAUAAUCUCAUUUUCAGCAACAAGCCCUUCUCUCCGGGGUUCAUAUUUUUUCCGAAUUGCACAGAAUGACUCAUCUCAAGUUAGAGCCAUUGGUGCCCUCAUCCAAGCUUUUGGUUGGAGAGAAGCAGUGCCCGUCAGCAUUGACAAUGAGUUCGGGGAGGGACUAACACCUUACCUGACUACUGCCUUGCAAGAAGUUGGUGCUGGUAUCCCUUAUUGGAGUCUCAUUCCUUCAAUGGCCACUGAUGACCAAAUUAUUGAAGAGCUUCACAGGUUGAUGUCAAUGCAAACCAGGGUAUUCAUAGUGCACAUGUCGCCUUCACUUGGCUCUCGGUUUUUUGCUAAGGCAAGAGACAUUGGCAUGAUGGAGGAAGGUAAUGUUUGGAUAACAACGAAUGGGAUGACUAACUCUUUUAGUUCCUCCAGUUCUUCUGUCGAUAUAUAUAACAUGCAAGGAGUGUUAGGUAUAAAGACUAAUGUUCCAAACACAAAAGAACUUGAAAAUUUUAGAGCUAGAUGGCAAAUAAAAUUCCAACAAGACAAUCCAACUAUCCUUAACGUUAAAUUGGAUGUUUUUGGACUAUGGGCUUAUGAUGCUGCUUGGGCAUUAGCCCUGGCGGUUGAGAAGGUCAGGGGUACAAACUUCAGCUUCCAAAAGAUGAACAGUUCUCAUAAUUACACUGUUUUGGGAAGCUUAGAGGUCUCUCAAGGCGGUCCUGAACUUGUCCGAGAGCUAUCAGGUACGAGAUUCAGAGGCCUUUCAGGAGAUUUCAGUCUUAUUAAUGGGCAACUACAAUCAUCAACUUUUCAGGUAGUUAAUGUGAACGAUAAUGGGGAAAGAGGAAUUGGAUAUUGGACACCCCAAAAUGGACUUGUGAGAAACAUAAAUUCGAACAGAAACACAAACAGAUACUCUACUUCUAAUGCCAGUCUUGGACCUGUUAUAUGGCCUGGAGACACCACCUUGGCUCCAAGGGGCUGGCAGAUUCGCACGAACGGGACCUUAAAAGUCCUCGUCCCAGUGAAGCAAGGGUUUGAAGAAUUAGUAAGUGUGGUACAUGAUCCUAGCACUAACACAGCCAAGGUCACUGGUGGAUACUGCAUAGAAGUCUUUGACGCUGUAAUAAAAGCAUUACCAUAUCCUGUUCCUUAUGAGUUUUAUCCCUUUGCAAAUCCUAAUGGGCAGAGCGCUGGCAGUUACAAUGGUUUGAUCAAUCAAGUGUUUCUUGGGAACUAUGAUGCUGCAGUUGGAGACAUAACUAUUAGAGCAAACAGAUCCUUGUAUGUUGACUUUACAUUGCCAUUCACAGAAUCUGGGAUAUCAAUGGUCGUCCCCAUCAAAGGCAAUGAUGGCGGUAAAAACACAUGGGUGUUCUUGAAGCCUUUGACGUGGGAUCUCUGGGUUACAAUAGGCUGUUUUUUCAUAUUCAUUGGUUUUGUGGUCUGGUUUCUUGAACACCGGAUAAACGAAGACUUUCGUGGGCCUCCACAUCACCAAAUUGGCACAAGCUUUUGGUUCGCCUUCUCAACCAUGGUUUUUGCACACCGGGAACGAGUAGUGAGCAACUUGGGUAGGUUUGUAGUGAUCAUAUGGUGCUUUGUCGUCCUCGUACUGACUCAAAGCUACACUGCCAGUUUAUCAUCAAUCUUAACAAUUCAACAGCUCCAACCAAUAGUUACUGAUGUGAACCUUUUCUUGAAGAAUGGGGACAACGUUGGUUACCAAGAAGGCUCUUUUAUUCGUGGGAUUUUGAGUCAGCUGGGGUUUAAGGAAGAUAAACUUAGGACCUAUAAUUCCGUAGAAGAAUUAGAUAAACUUCUUCAGAACGGGAAUGAAAAUGGAGGUAUUUCUGCUGCUUUUGAUGAAACACCCUACAUGAAACUUUUUCUUGCAACUUAUUGCUUGAAAUAUACCCUGGUCGAGCCAACAUUUAAAGCCGAUGGUUUUGCCUUUGUCUUCCAAAAAAGUUCACUUCUCACGCGUGAUGUUUCGACGGCAAUCACUCAAGUGCAUGAGGGAGAUAAAAUGAAGGCCAUCGAGGACAAGUGGUUCAAGAAAACAGCAAGUUGUUCAAACCCCAACACCGCGAGCUCUUACGACACUCUUAGCCUUGAAAGCUUUUGGGGCCUCUUCAUUGUUGCUGGUGUUGCUUCAUCGUUAGCUCUCCUCAUCUUUGCAGCCAUGUUCCUCUAUGAGCAUAGCCACAUUUUGACAUGCGUUGAUUCAAAAGCCUCAUUUUGGACAAGAAUUCGUCAAGUACUAAGAGCAUAUGAUCAACAAGACAAGACUUGGCAUGCUUACAAGAAAACCAGAAAAGAAGAUGGUGUUCAUGGAAUAGCUGCGGUUGAAUCUUCACCAAACACCAACUGUCUCUGUCUCAGAAGGCCAUCAAGAUCAAGCAAACCAAAUCAAAUUGAACCAGAAAUUGUUCUUGAAGAGCAGCAGGGAACAACUUCUACUCAGCAUAGUGAUUUGAAUCCGAAUGCUAUAGAGUUAACGGCUAUCACAUAAACCAUUAAAUUUUGCCUUGGUUUGUUUGGCCAGAUUCUCUUAAGGGUUUUUGUGAAGCUGAAUUUGUAUUACAAAUCUCCAUUGUGGUGGAGUGUACAAAUUGUACAUGAGUUUCUAUUAGUUGAUAAUGUUGUGGACAAAAAUUGCAUCAUAGAGCCUCAGAAAGC